CGUAUGUCUUCCGUGAGCUGAAAUGAAGUGCAUAGAAUUCCGAGCUCGGUAUUUUCAAAUGGUGAGCUAGAUGUGUGGCAUUUAUUUCUUUUUCUUUUAGUAUGGAGCUGAAUUGGUUUUAUGCUAGUGCUGCAGGGAGUUUGGGCAUUGACCGAUUUCUUUGUUAUGAUGCAGAAUUUGAUUUUUUUGCCGGUUAUGCAGGCUUUGACUACUGUACUGAUGUUGCAGAGUUCGCUUGCAGCCGAUUAGAGAAUGAGACAGGGUGGUUUGUAAUGAAUGGCGAUUCGACGAUGUCGGUUCAACGUGUUAUUUUUGCAAGAUACAUCAAUGUGCUCCUUAACAACCCCAACCGGUGAAUCACACCGUUUCAACUUCCAUCCAGCAUUACGAUCAUACAGAGAAUUAUAACUUCAGAUUUCUGAGCUUCAUGAGAAGAUCCAGCGAAUGCAGUUCGUUGAAGAACAUCGGCACAAGGUUCCAGAAUAGGAGUGCGUUCUUGGUACAUGCUCGGUGUAGAACGUAUCAAUGAAUUCAUCGUGCCUGAUCGAGUGUAAUGCAAUUGACGGUUCAAAGUUGUAAUGAACCUCCCUCUUUUGUAAUAUACUUUUAUGCAGGAUUUUGGUUAGGAUUUUCUCCUGCUGCAAAGUUGCAUUUUUGUUGUAGUUUUUUCAAUUCUGGCCUUUUUGUAAUGUGUAAUGGAUGUAUUGGUUUUGGAUAUGGCUUCCUCUUGUUUGAUGUAUCAUGAUCUUUUUAUGAACAUUUGAUGUUCAGGUUGCUUUAUGUACAGUACCAAUGUGUAGGCCCGAGAUCUUCUGGAACUGAAUGUGACUGGCUAGCAUGAGCAUUGUUUA